GCGGACCACCAGUGGUGCCCGGACCACACUUUGAGAAACACUGGUCUAGAGUUUCACCCACCACUAGAUGGGAAAAAUGAAUUUACAAAAAAAUGCUAAUUGUUUUAAAUUGUUGUG